rnacentral:rRNA from 1 species
AGGACGAACGCUGGCGGCGUGCUUAACACAUGCAAGUCGAGCGGUGAUCCUCCUUCGGGAGGUGAUCAGCGGCGAACGGGUGAGUAACACGUGGGCAACCUGCCCCUCACACUGGGAUAACCUCGGGAAACCGGGGCUAAUACCGGAUACGACCUCGAGCGGCAUCUCUUGAGGUGGAAAGCUCCGACGGUGAGGGAUGGGCCCGCGGCCUAUCAGCUUGUUGGUGGGUAAUGGCCUACCAAGGCGACGACGGGUAGCCGG